ACACGGGGUGCGUCGUACGACGCUGAGAUCACACCCGUGGAACCUGAUCUAGUUCGUACUAGCGAAGGGAUGUC
rnacentral:ncRNA from 1 species